CAGCCAGGGAUCUCCCGUGGGAUCCGCUCAGCCUUUAUGAAGGCCUCACACCAUAUCCCAAACCGCACCAACACCUGGGUGUUUCCCCCACUGCGUGAGGAAUUCCCUUUUCCCGGGAGACGGGAAUUCCCGCCGGGAGCAGGGGCUGCUCCUGCACCAACUCAAUGGACGCAGGAACAUCCAUCCAGCGCUGGGUCCCCAAAAACCUUCCUCACCCCUUGCUGACCCCCCAAAAGCCUCUCCUGCACCCCGGGGAGGAGCGGGGCACGGGCAGGGACAGAGCUCCCUGUCCGUCUGUCCGCAGGGCUGGGCGCAGCAGCUCCAGCGCAGGGCCGGGAAGGCAGGGCAGGGCAGGGAGCGCAUCGGGGAAGGUGUUAAAGAGCCCGGCGGUUGUUUAUAACCCACCGGCAAGCGGCGAUUACCCCUUAAUCCUCCCUGAGCGCCGCUUUACGAGCAGCGAGCUGCGCAAACACCUGGGCAAGGAGCCCUGCAGCACAAAAGUCCUCCAGAGAAAGAGCCCUGGAGCACAAAAAUCCCCAGG
rnacentral:lncRNA from 12 species